UCCCUGGUGGUCUAGGGGUUAAGGAUUCAGCUUUGUGAAUGCUGCGGCUUGGGUUUGAUCCCUGGCCUGGGAA
rnacentral:tRNA from 1 species